AACGAACGCUGGCGGCAGGCUUAACACAUGCAAGUCGAGCGCCCCGCAAGGGGAGCGGCAGACGGGUGAGUAACGCGUGGGAAUCUACCCAUCUCUACGGAAUAACGCAUGGACACGUGUGCUAAUACCGUAUACGUCCUUCGGGAGAAAGAUUGAUCGGAGAUGGAUGAGCCCGCGUUGGAUUAGCUAGUUGGUGGGGUAAAGGCCUACCAAGGCGACGAUCCAUAGCUGGUCUGAGAGGAUGAUCAGCCACACUGGGACUGAGACACGGCCCAGGCUCCUACGGGAGGCAGCGGUGGGGAAUAUGGGACAAUGGGCGCAAGCCUGAUCCAGCCAUGCCGCGUGAGUGAUGAAGGCCCUAGGGUUGUAAAGCUCUUUCACCGGUGAAGAUAAUGACGGUAACCGGAGAAGAAGCCCCGGCUAACUUCGUGCCAGCCGCCGCGGUAACAC
rnacentral:rRNA from 1 species